AAACCGUGGGUAAUACCGGAUACUCCGCAGCCCCCGCAUGGGGGAGGCGGGAAAGCGUACACGGCGGGGGAUGGGCCCGCGGCCUGUUAGCUCGUUGGCGGGGUAACGGCCCACCAAGGCGAUUAUGGGUAGCCGGGUUGAGAGACCGACCGGCCAGAUUGGGACUGAGACACGGCCCAGACUCCUACGGGAGGCAGCAGUGGGGAAUCUUGCACAAUGAAGAGAAGCCUGAUGCAGCGACGCCGCGUGCGGGAG
rnacentral:rRNA from 1 species